AACGAACGCUGGCGGCAUGCCUAACACAUGCAAGUCGAACGAGACCUCCGGGUCCUGUGGCGCACGGGUUCGUAACGCGUGGGAUCAUGCCCUUAGGUUCGGACUAACUCCUCGAAAGGGGUGCUAAUACCGGAUAAUGUCUCCGGACCAAAGAUUUAUCGCCUUUGGAUGGGGCCGCGUUGGAUUGGCUGGUUGGUAGGGUAAAAGCCUAACAAGGCGACGAUCCAUAGCUGGUCUGAGAGGAGGAUCAGCCAAACUGAGACUGAGACACGGCACAGACUCCUACGGGAGGCGGCGAUGGGGAAUAUAGGACAGUGGGCGAAAGGCUGAACCAGCAAGGGCGGGAGAGUGAUGAAGGCCUUAGAGUUGUAAAGCUCUUUUACCCGAGAUGAUAAUGACGGUACCGGGAGAAUAAGCACCGGCUAACUCCGUG
rnacentral:rRNA from 1 species